GGGUGAUUACUUUUCAAUUUUCUGUUAGAUACUUUAACCUUUGACGGUGUUUCAAAAAUCAUACAAUUGAUACAAAUGUAUUGCCUGGCACCUCGCAUAUUCAAGUUGAUAUUUUGCAGCAUAGUCCAAAAAAUGAUAAACAAUUAAAAACUUAUUCUCGUAAGAGGCUUCACGAAGAUGAGAUUGUCGGUGACCAACAUGAAAAAGUUAAACUUGUACGUUACAGUCCCAGUCCUCAAAGCACACAGACAGUUCCAAAGUUCACUGUAGAUUAUUCAGAUACCCCAUCUUCCACAAAAUCUAAUAUUAAAAAAAAAUCAAGAGUUUUAAGUGUUAAGUUAACUUCAUUAAAAAAAAAGUUUAAAGCUCAAAAAAUAAGUAUUUACGCCUUAAAAAGAAAGCAAAUCUAGUGUCUAAAAAUUUUUUGGCAAAUUUACUUAAAGGAAAAAGUACAGCUGUAAAAACACUAAUUAACAUGCAGUUAUCUCCACGGAGGAAAAAAGUUUGGACGACCAAUGAGCGACAUUUGGCACUUUCUCUUUAUUAUAAGUCGCCUGGAUGUUACAAGUUUUAAAGAGAAAAAUUGUUGUUUUUUUUUGCCAUCGGUUCGUACGAUUCAGUCAUG